AAUAAGUAGAUGGUUUGUAUCAAAAAAAAAUAAUACCUUUUCUCGCAUCUUUACACAACUGUCAAUAUGAACGAGUGAAGAAACACUCUCUCUUUUUAAAAAUUUUAACUUAGCUUAAUUUGUAAAAAAAAUUAUUAAGACAGGCUUUCAAAAUAAUUAUUAUUGUUUAUAGUCUGAUUUUGAAUAUUGUGAUGCCUGUCAAGGUUUGAAUUAGCUUGAAGCAGAAACUCAUUGGGAUCCAACGCUUUCUGGGCAAGGACCCAGUCUAGCAUAGAUAUAGAAGCUUCGAGCCUCGAGCCCGGAUAAUUACCAGACCGGUCCAAUACUUAUUUUUUUGUACCGAGGAAUAACGUGGCAUGCGCUUAACUUUAUGGCAAGGAUCGCAACUUGCAUAAACAUAGAAGCUCUGAUCCUUUCUCUGCCACCGGGUACAAAGGGGUUAAGUCGUAAAUGAUAGUUUGCAAAAAAAAAUGCGAUUGAAGUUGAGGAAAGAGUUGCUCUAAAUUUAUGUUUUUAAAACCAAAUAAAAGAGAAAAAAGAGAUUAUUCUUAUUUCAUCAAAACCCGAAAAUGCAAUUUUGUGACUUGACCCCUUUGUACCCGGCGGCAAAGAAUUAUUGGCUGUUCUGCUAUUUAAGUGCUGUUCUGCUAUUUCAGGGAAAGGCUCCAGACCAACACAAAAAUGAGCUUGGGAACGUUUUGAUUCUACGAUUUCAUAAUAGGCUCGAGGCUCGAAGCUUCUAUAUCUAUGCAAGACUGGGUCCUUGCCAUAAAGUUAAGAAUGUCACGUUAUUCCUUGAAAUACAAAUUUAAGUAUUGCACCGGUCUCAUAAUUCUCCCGGCAUGAAUUCCAUAGGAAACGUCUUUUGGGGCUUAUCCCUUUUUGUACGUUAUUUUGUAUCAAAAAGUAUGAAUUCUUUGACUUUUUUUAAGGCAAUCCUUAUCAACAUGAUAAGCGCAGGUAAAUGGGACAGAAAAAAAGUUCAAGACAUUUAGACAAAAACCAAAAAUUUUAUUUUUUUGCUUGGGCCUAAUAAUAUGGCAAGGCUUUUUGAUACACACCAUUUUUUGUUUUUGCAUCUUUGAUAUAUGUAAAUAUAGCAUAUGGUUUUCUUACUCGCUAACAGCCAACAUAUAUGUAGUUGACAAUGGGAAAAAACAGGAUUCACUAAAUUAAUACCACAUAUUUUUAAAGAUAGACCUUAUUUAUGGUUAUAGCAAAUGCCAAUGUUACAGAAAAUUGAAGACGCUUAAAUUCAAAUGGGAAAACUGACAGAAUCAUUGGACCUUGAGAAAUCAACACAUCUUCGCCUUUGAAUUUUCCACAAAAAAUGGUAGCUUCAAUUAGCCAUUAACUUCUUCAAGACAAGUCUUGUACAUUGCAAAGUUUAGGUUGCUGUAUGUUCUGAAGCAUUAUAAUGGGCGCUACUACUUUCCGCGCUAAAUGAUGUGGCGGCAGUCCUGGUAUAUCCAAUGAAUUCAAAAAUUUCGUUUGGUAAUUUAAUACAAUGCUUUCAUUUGUGAUAGGGUCAACCGAUUUGUUGGCAAAAAAAUUGUGUGUUUAUAUCGUUAAAAAUUGUUGCAUUGAUUUCAGAAACAUUUUUUUUGUACCAGCCAUUAUUGCACGUUACUAAACCA